rnacentral:misc_RNA from 1 species
AACGUAAUGGGAUUAAAUCUGCUAGUGAUAUGCAUGAUGAGUUGUUAUUGCAGCAGAGCAUUAGCGAAGUUGUGGGCGACGAAAUAUGGAACUCAAAAAUUGAGGACGAAGAAGGUCAUGCAAACCUCUGCGGGACUUCAGAGAAUUCAAGGAAGUUGGAUUCUCCACAGCCAGUUAAAUUGCUUAUGGCAUCUUCAGAUGAUUCUAACAAGAGGCUUAAAGGAGCUUUGGUGACUAAAACUCGAGAGCGCAGAAAAGUUCAGCUAAUGGAACAACCAAGCCAAAGAACAACGGGAAGGAGCCUAGGA